rnacentral:rRNA from 1 species
CCUACGGGCGGCAGCAGUGAGGAAUAUUGGUCAAUGGGCGCGAGCCUGAACCAGCCAAGUAGCGUGAAGGAUGAAUGCCCUACGGGUUGUACACUUCUUUUAUAAAGGAAUAAAGUGAGGCACGUGUGCCUUUUUGUAUGUACUUUAUGAAUACAGAUCGGCUAACUCCGUGACAGCAGCCGCGGUAAUACGGAGGAUCCGAGCGUUAUCCGGAUUUCUUGGGUUUAAAGGGAGCGUAGGUGGAUUGUUAAGUCAGUUGUGAAAGUUUGCGGCUCAACCAUAAAAUUGCAGUUGAAACUGGCAGUCUUGAGUACAGUAGAGGUGGGCGGAAUUCGUGGUGUAGCGGUGAAAUGCUUAGAUAGCACGAAGAACUCCGAUUGCGAAGGCAGCUCACUGGACUGCAACUGACACUGAGGCUCGAAAGUGUGGGUAUCAAACAGGAUUAGAUACCCCGGUAGUA